GCAGCACUCACAGAAACAGCAGGGACAGAGGAGAGAGCGAGAAGCCUUGAGAAGAAACAGGGUCCACCCCGAGAGGCAGUUCCCAGUCCCACAGAGGUGCACGACUUCUUUUCCUUUUGUGUUGAAAAGCAGCAACAGGAGGGGACAGUGGUGGUAUUUCAGAGUCAUGGGGCCGCCAGUUCGUGGUACAGUACAUGAGUGACUCUAAGUUGACAGGCUUCCAGUCUCUGCUCAACUUCUGGCAUGAGAGGUCUGAUGGGCUAGUGCCAGUUGCCAAGAGGCUGCUAGCAAUCCCAGCAACAAGCACUCCUUCUGAGCGUAGUUUCAGUGUUGCUGGGAGACUGAUUGAGGAGAGGCGUUCCACCCUCAAUCCAGAAAAUGUAGAUGAACUUUUGUUCCUACAUAGCAACUUAUAAUGACAACUAUUCAUAUGUGCUGAAGAGUGGGAAAGUAGACUGAUAUGCACGGUGGCUGACAGACACACAGCAAACAGUUAAAACGUGCUGCAAACACAGGAAUGAAUCAAAUUCCAAAACAAAAAAACAAAUGCAACA